rnacentral:rRNA from 1 species
UCCGUAGGCGGGUAAUUAAGUCAGAGGUGAAAUCCCACAGCUUAACUGUGGAACUGCCUUAGAUACUGGUCAUCUUGAGUUUUAGUGAAGUAGAUAGAAUGUGUAGUGUAGCGGUGAAAUGCAUAGAUAUUACACAGAAUACCGAUUGCGAAGGCAGUCUACUAACUAACAACUGACGCUAAUGGACGAAAGCGUGGGGAGCGAACAGGAUUAGAUACCCUGGUAGUCC